AGAGCAUAAGGCGGAUGCCUUGGCACUGGGAGCCGAAGAAGGACGUGACAAGCUGCGAUAAGCCACGGGGAGGAGCAAAUAUCUAUAGAUCCGUGGAUUUCCGAAUGCGGGAACGCACCUACAGUAAUAUGUAGGUAUCCUUAGCUAAAAACAUAGGCUAAGAGAAGGUAACGGGGUGAACUGAAACAUCUAAGUAACCCUAGGAAGAGAAAGAAACAUCGAUUUUCUAAGUAGCGGCGAGCGAAAGGGAAAGAGCCCAAACCAUGUUUAGGCAUGGGGUUGUGGACCACCAAAGAGGAAGAUUUAUAUAUAGUCAAAUGGCUCUGGAAAGGUCAGGCGAAGAGAGUGAAACCCUCGUAGACGAAAUGUAUAAAUUACCAAGGUGGCACCAGAGUAGGUCCGGGCACGUGAAACCCGGAUUGAAGCAGGGGGGCCCACCCCCCAAGGCUAAAUACUACCCAGUGACCGAUAGCGAAUAGUACCGUGAGGGAAAGGUGAAAAGAACCCCGGGAGGGGAGUGAAAUAGAACCUGAAACCUUAUGCUUACAAGCAGUGGGAGCUAAAGUGACCACGUACUUUUUGUAGAACGGGCCAACGAGUUAUGGUGUGUAGCAAGGUUAAGGUGCUGGAGCACCGGAGCCGUAGCGAAAGCGAGUCUUAAUAGGGCAAAAGUUACAUGCUGUAGACCCGAAACCGGGUGACCUAUCCAUGUGCAGGUUGAAGCGAGAGUAAAAUCUCGUGGAGGACCGAACCCAUAUCCGUUGAAAAGGGUUGGGAUGACGUGUGGAUAGCGGUGAAAUUCCAAUCGAACUCGGAGAUAGCUGGUUCUCCUCGAAAUAGCUUUAGGGCUAGCCUCAAGGAAAAGAUACACGGAGGUAGAGCACUGAAUGUUCUAGGGGCCUUCACCGGUUACCGAAAACUAUCAAACUCCGAAUGCCGUGCAAUCAUACUUGGGAGUCAGACUAUGGGAGAUAAGUUUCAUGGUCGAAAGGGAAACAGCCCAGACCCACAGCUAAGGUCCCAAAAUGUAAGUUAAGUGGAAAAGGAUGUGAAGUUGCAUAAACAGCUAGGAUGUUGGCUUAGAAGCAGCCACUCAUUUAAAGAGUGCGUAAUAGCUCACUAGUCGAGUGACUUUGCGCCGAAGAUAAACGGGGCUAAACUUACUACCGAAGCUUGGGAACUAGAAAUAGUUGGUAGAGGAGCAUCCUGUGAAGGCUGAAGCCAACCUGAAAGGGUUGGUGGACAACACAGGAGAGAGAAUGUUGGCAUGAGUAGCGAGAGGCAGGUGAGAAUCCUGCCCGCCGAAAAUCUAAGGUUUCCUGAGGAAGGUUCGUCCACUCAGGGUUAGUCGGGGCCUAAGCCGAGAGCGAACGCUGUAGGCGAUGGACAACUGGUAGAUAUUCCAGUACCACCGAAUGUCGUUAUAAGUGAAGUGGGGACACAGAAGGAUAGGUUGAGCGCACCGUUGGUAGAGUGCGUCCAAGCGUUAAGGGAGCUGAAGCAGGCAAAUCCGCAUCAGCAAUUCUGAGGCGUUACGGGGAGUCUAAAAAGACGGAAGCAACUGAUUUCAUACUGUCAAGAAAAGCCGCUAGCAAGACACUAGGUGCCCGUACCGCAAACCGACACAGGUAGAUGAGGAGAGAAUCCUAAGGCGAGCGAGAGAACUAUUGUUAAGGAACUCGGCAAAAUUACCCCGUAACUUCGGGAGAAGGGGUGCCUGCGAAGAGCAGGCCGCAGUGAAUAGGCCCAGGCGACUGUUUACCAAAAACACAGGUCUCUGCUAAAGCGAAAGCUGAAGUAUAGGGGCUGACGCCUGCCCGGUGCUGGAAGGUUAAGGGGAAUGCUUAGCGCAAGCGAAGGUGUGAACUUAAGCCCCAGUAAACGGCGGCCGUAACUAUAACGGUCCUAAGGUAGCGAAAUUCCUUGUCAGGUAAGUUCUGACCCGCACGAAAGGCGUAACGAUCUGGGCACUGUCUCAACAAUAGACUCGGUGAAAUUGUAGUACCGGUAAAGAUGCCGGUUACCCGCAGCAGGACGGAAAGACCCCAUGGAGCUUUACUGUAGCUUGAUAUUGAGUUUUGGCAUUGCAUGUACAGGAUAGGUGGGAGACUGAGAAGUUAGGACGCCAGUUUUAGCUGAGUCACCGUUGGGAUACCACCCUUGUAAUGUUGAAAUUCUAACCGUGCGCCGUAAUCCGGUGUCGGGACAGUGUCUGGUGGGCAGUUUGACUGGGGCGGUCGCCUCCUAAAGAGUAACGGAGG
rnacentral:rRNA from 1 species